rnacentral:lncRNA from 1 species
AACCAGUCUUAUUUACUAAUAACCAGUCUUAUUUACUAUUAACCAGUCUUAUUUACUACUAACCAGUCUUAUUUACUACUAACCAGUCUUAUUUACUACUAACCAGUCUUAUUUACUAUUAACCAGUCUUAUUUACUACUAACCAGUCUUAUGUACUAUUAACCAGACCUAUGGCACCCUAUUCCCUAUAGAGUGCACUACUUUAGACCAGAUGCCUAUGGCACCCUAUUCCCUAUAGAGUGCACUACUUUAGACCAGAUGCCAUAGGCAUCCUAUUCCCUAUAUAGGGAAUAGGGUGCAAGGCACUCAGAACAGAAGAAAAUCAUACACUGUUAUCCAAAUAUAAACACACACACACACACCACACACACCACACACACACACCACACACCACACACACACACACACCACACACCACACACACACACACACACACCACACACCACACACACACACACACACCACACACACCACACACCACACACCACACACACACCACACACACACACACCACACACACACCACACACACCACACACACACACACCACACACACCACACACACACACCACACACCACACACACACACACACACACACACACACACACACACCACACACCACACACAUACACACACCACACACACACACACACACACACACACACACACCACACACACACACACCACACACCACACACACACCACACACACACACACACACACACACACACACACACACACACACCACACACCACACACAUACACACACACCACACACCACACACACACACACACACAUACACACACACACAUACACACACACACCACACAUACACCACACACACACACACCACACACCACACACACAUACACACACACACCACACACCACACACACACCACACAUACACCACACACCACACACACACACACACACACACUACACUUACCACACACCACACACCACAACACACACACCACACACAAACCACACACACCACACACACACCACACACACACACACCACACACACACCACACACCACACACCACACACCACACAUACACCACACCCACACACCACACAUACACCACACACACACACCACACACACCACACAUACACCACACACACACCACACACCACACACACCACACCACACAUACACACACCACACAUACACCACACACACACACACACACACCACACAUACACCACACAUACCACACACACACACACACCACACACAUACCACACACCACACAUACACCAUAAAUACACCACACACCACACAUACACCACACAUACACCACACACCACAAAUACACCACACACACACCACACCACACAUACACCACACACACACCACACACACACACCACACACCACAAAUACACACCACACACACCACACACCACAAAUACACCACACACACCACCACACACACCACACCAUACACACACACCACACACCACACACACUACACAUACCACAUCCUUUCAUGACGAGCCAGCACUAAACAAAACUGUGCCAGAGGAGAACAU